GAUGAACGCUAGCGGGAGGCCUAACACAUGCAAGCCGAGCGGUAUUGUUUCUUCGGCCAUGAGAGAGCGGCGUACGGGUGCGUAACACGUGUGCAACCUGCCUUUAUCUGGGGGAUAGCCUUUCGAAAGGAAGAUUAAUACUCCAUAAUAUAUUGAACGGCAUCGUUUAAUAUUGAAAGCUCCGGCGGAUAGAGAUGGGCACGCGCAAGAUUAGCUAGUUGGUGAGGUAACGGCUCACCAAGGCGAUGAUCUUUAGGGGGCCUGAGAGGGUGAUCCCCCACACUGGUACUGAGACACGGACCAGACUCCUACGGGAGGCAGCAGUGAGGAAUAUUGGUCAAUGGGUGCAAGCCUGAACCAGCCAUCCCGCGUGAAGGACGACUGCCCUAUGGGUUGUAAACUUCUUUUGUAUAGGGAUAAACCUACCCUCGAGAGGGUAGCUGAAGGUACUAGACGAAUAAGCACCGGCUAACUCCGUG
rnacentral:rRNA from 1 species